AAGUUCAUAUGAUCACAAUCACAGGAAGCGCUUCAAGGAAAUGAGAGAAAUGCAUGGAAGUAGCCGGGACGAUAGACAUAAAAGAGAACAGCAACGUCAAGAGAGGGAGAUGGCAAAAUUCGCCCAAAUGGCUGCCAAUAAGAAGCAGCAAGAACAGCAAACACCAGAGGAAGCAGGAAAUAUUCCAGCCCCUUCCAUGGUUAGAACUGCAACUGCUCUAGCAGAUCAAGAUCAGAGGAAGACUUUGAAGUUCGGAUUUUCUGCGAAAGGAGGCUCAUCAAAGGUGACGACCUUGGUUAACAAAUCUGCAAAGAAGCCAAAAGUAACUGUUGCAUCUGUCUUCAG
rnacentral:misc_RNA from 1 species